CAGCUUGCUGGGUGGAUCAGUGGCGAACGGGUGAGUAACACGUGAGCAACCUGCCCCGGACUCUGGGAUAAGCGCUGGAAACGGCGUCUAAUACUGGAUACGAGACGCAACCGCAUGGUUAGUGUCUGGAAAGAUUUUUCGGUCUGGGAUGGGCUCGCGGCCUAUCAGCUUGUUGGUGAGGUAAUGGCUCACCAAGGCGUCGACGGGUAGCCGGCCUGAGAGGGUGACCGGCCACACUGGGACUGAGACACGGCCCAGACUCCUACGGGAGGCAGCAGUGGGGAAUAUUGCACAAUGGGCGGAAGCCUGAUGCAGCAACGCCGCGUGAGGGAUGACGGCCUUCGGGUUGUAAACCUCUUUUAGCAAGGAAGAAGCGAAAGUGACGGUACUUGCAGAAAAAGCGCCGGCUAACUACGUGCCAGCAGCCGCGGUAAUACGUAGGGCGCAAGCGUUAUCCGGAAUUAUUGGGCGUAAAGAGCUCGUAGGCGGUCUGUCGCGUCUGCUGUGAAAACCCGAGGCUCAACCUCGGGCCUGCAGUGGGUACGGGCAGACUAGAGUGCGGUAGGGGAGAUUGGAAUUCCUGGUGUAGCGGUGGAAUGCGCAGAUAUCAGGAGGAACACCGAUGGCGAAGGCAGAUCUCUGGGCCGUAACUGACGCUGAGGAGCGAAAGGGUGGGGAGCAAACAGGCU
rnacentral:rRNA from 1 species